rnacentral:rRNA from 1 species
GUCUAUAGCCAUACCACCCUGAACGUGCCGGAUCUCGUCAGAUCCCGGAAGCAAAGCAGGAUCAGGCCUGGUUAGUACUUGGAUGGGAGACCACCUGGGAAUACUGGGUGCUGUAGGCU